rnacentral:rRNA from 1 species
GACGAACGCUGGCGGCGUGCCUAACACAUGCAAGUCGGACGGAUCAGGUAUGACAGCUUGCUGUAGUGCCUGGUUAGUGGCGGACGGGUGAGUAACGCGUGAGGACCUACCCUGGAGAGGGGGAUAACGGCUGGAAACGGCUGCUAAUACCCCGUAAGCCUGAGGGUGAAAGGGAGCGAUCUGCUCCGGGGCGGCCUUGCGUCCUAUCAGCUAGUUGGUGGGGUAAUGGCCUACCAAGGCGAAGACGGGUAGCCGGCCUGAGAGGGCGACCGGCCACACUGGAACUGAGACACGGUCCAGACUCCUACGGGAGGCAGCAGUGGGGAAUAUUGGGCAAUGGGCGAAAGCCUGACCCAGCCAUGCCGCGUGAAGGAAGACGGCCUUAUGGGUUGUAAACUUCUUUACUACGCGAAUAGAGGUUAGUACGAGAUACUAAUAGGAAGGUAGUGUAGUAAAAAGCACCGGCUAACUCCGUG